rnacentral:lncRNA from 1 species
AGACCCGUAAUGCCAACCUGACCCGGUUUUACGGGUCUAUUCUCCUGAAAGAAUUUCAAUUCGCACGGACUCAUUGCCCAUUUAUGUACUCUUACAAAUUGCAAGUUCCGAAUCUCGUAACUCUCCCAUUUCUGAACCAAUGAGGACGUUACUGUACAGUACUAGCGGAGUGUCAACUCUUUCAUAUUUACCAUUUUGCCAUUGUACUUCCUCUCUUUCCCUUCUCAACUCCCUCUCUUUAUCUCUUCUUCGUCCUUCAACAACCAAAUACCUGUCUCGACAAACCUCAANNNNNNNNNNNNNNNNNNNNNNNNNNNNNNNNNNNNNNNNNNNNNNNNNNNNNNNNNNNNNNNNNNNNNNNNNNNNNNNNNNNNNNNNNNNNNNNNNNNNNNNNNNNCCAUGAUGCUGUUUUAGAGGAUAUGUGGAAGCUUUUAACAGGUGGAAAUUGAGAGAAACUCUUCCAGCUGAUGCCCAUAAAAAGGUGAGUGGGAUAGUAAAAUAGUCUGUAUCCUUUGGAUUUAUUAGCAAAGUAGCAAGAAAAUGUAAGUUGGGUUUUAUGUCUGCAUUUAUUCUGCAGGUUAAAUUGAUGUGCUCUUAUUGCAAGAAUCAUGGUGAUACUGAAGUCCCUGACCCUUACUAUGGUGGACCUCAAGGUUUUGAGAAGGUAAUUUAUGAAAUUAUCCAUCUUAUCAGUCAUGAAGAACAGUUGAUAAAGUCAUUUAGAUAUUUGGGGGCUUAGAAUAGUACAUAACUCAUUGUAGAUUGCAGUUAAGAAAGCCGUGUUGUUAGAAUACACGGGAACUAUAAUACAAUUGUCAGCAAGCAAACAAGUUAAUUGGGUUGGAAAAUUAUGAUGUCUGAUAAAUACUGGAGUGAAGUCUCAACAAUUUUUUCUAAAAGGACACCACACUGUCGAGCUAGAAUCUAAGUAUACUAGUUAUCUUUUGCUUUGAGACUUUCGAGGAGAUAACUUGAGACCAUCCAGUAUGCAAAAUUUUGACAGGUAGGGGAUAUAUACCUUAUGUUAAGUAUUUUUCAUGAAAAACAAAAUCACGAGAUAAAUGUUUUCUCCUUGUGAAUGGGACUCUAGCUCUGAGCCCUGAAUUGAAGUAGAAUCUUCCUUUGCUUUCCUGCUUGGCUACCUUGAAAUGGUUCCAAUAGUGGUUGCUAUUGGAGGGAAGUAGUUUGCUUAACCAUGCAUUUGCAGUUCCAGUGGUGGUGAUGUAUGCUCUAACUGGUAGGGGUGACAGUCUGGUGGCUUUGGUGGACAUGAUAUCAGGAAUGGUAUGAGAAGUUUCUGUAUUGGCAAUGAUACUAGUAUCCUUGAUGUCAUGAGAAAAGAAGAGGUGUUUUUGGUGUUCCAUAGAUAAACAAUGCUGAUACAGAGUGAUAAGAGAAUCUAUUUAAAAGUAGGAUAACAGCAGAUAUCCAGGCAGGAAGAUAAACAGUUUCAUUGUGUUUAAUUUCAGGAAAUAGUUUGAACUGGAGGAAUCCUUCUGAUAAGUAGGAUAAUCUUCUACAGCAGAUAUGUAGAUCUAAAGAAUGAAGUACAUUCCUCGAGUGAAUUCAUAUGUUAUUAGUUCUACCCUAACAAAUAAAAUGUGUCCUGAUAUUCAGGUUUAGCCAAUCCUGUAAGCAUUAGUGAUAUCGAGCUUGUUAAAGUUACUCUGGCCAUAUAUACCUUCUACAGAUAAUUCACCAUGCUCAUCUCAUAUAUUAAUAGAAAGGGGGUCACCCUGGUCAGUUCUAAUUUGGAACUAUAAGUUGAUUGGAAUUUACAUACAUAAUUAUUUGGCUCUUCAUGUCUUGCUUGAAGCAUUAGUUUGCUAUGCUUUACCUUGCUGAUUUCUUCUGUGUGCACGUAAUGCACACACUUUAGAAACGAUUGAAAUUAACCCUAGUAAUUAAUGGAGAGAAGGAAAGCUGUUAAAAUCACGAUUGAGGAUGCGGUAUCCUCCAACUAAAAAAGAAUGGAGCAUGGGAUAAAACAAAAAAAAACAUUUAAUUAAAAAUAGUGACUUUAUCCUUUUCUAAAGUAGAUAAGGAAACUUCCUAAAGGAACCAUUUUCACUUUAUAUUUCCAAAAAGAAACCAUGAGCCCUUGCCCAAAAAGAAGCAAAGAAAAUCAUUCUGUCUCAAAUCAUGUGUGACGGUGAUGCAGAAUGGAUUAGUUACAGAUUAUCUAAAUAAAUUGAAAAUUACAAUUCUAUUCAGUAUAAAACUAUUAUACCAUUUAGAAGUCUAUUAUUAUGGUUCUAGCAACUUUUAUUAUUUAUUUUUAUUAUUUUUUAGUUUUUCCAUUUGUAUAAGUGGUAUUUCUUAUUUUAUUCGGAGUUGUAUUUCUAAUUUUAUUAGUAUUUCUUUUCUAUCUUAUUAAGAAUUUUUCAGUUUUAUUGGUUUUAAUAUUUUUUAGUUUAAUUUAUUUCAAAAAAAUAUUUUUUAGUUUAAUCCUAUUUAAUAAAGGUUAUUUAGGAAAAAUUAUAAAUAUUAUUGUAAUUUCAUUUCUUGAGACAAUAUUAGUUAUUUAAUAAAAUAUUUUGAGAAUUUCUCAAUUUUCUGAUUGCGUGAUACAAUCAAACUUUUAAAUGUGAUGUUUAAGAUUUCUUAUAUGAGGUGUUUAAAAAACACGAGGUUUGAUAUAUAGGUUUUAUCCUAAAUUCUUAAGUAUGAAAAUUAACCCUAAUUGUCCUGCAUCAGUUUGGUAUUAGAAUUAAAAGUUCCUAAACCAAAUACUCAAAUGCUAAUACCCGAAUAGCUCCAAACCAAUCUGAAUAAAAAAAUGUAAUAGUAAAACCCUAAACACUCCAAGCGAUUGCCAGUCCAUUCAUCACUAGGCGGUGAUCGAGAUAGCCCCUAUCCCUAGCCUCAUAAGACUCUAAUGGCACACACCUGAAGCCCGAUUGGUAAGCUAAAUUGAAAAAGCACCACUGGUUAUUGCAAGUCGUCCUAGCUGCCACCACUCUUGGCCUCGUACUUCAGCAUAUCCAUAUCUCACAUCGGCCUUUGAUAUGCAACUAGCACCUCUAGUCCAGUUGACUAAUUGAAGCUUGUUGUCUCCAGUGAUAAGAAGUCGGUGCAUGAACCAUACCAUGUCUGAUCGAGUGUAGAGCUUACUCAAUCCACUUUGUUUGACUUCCCUGAGAUCUGAAUUCACAUGGAAUUGUGGUGCAUGAUAUUGCUUUGGGAUUGUUGGACUCAGUCUAACUUCAGGGAAGAUACUUCUUUCUCAAGUAUAGAUCAUCCAUUGGUGUCUUCUGAAGCCGGGGAAAUGAUGCUUAAUACGACUCAGAAGCUGUUCCCUUGGGUAAAGUCGUAUCACCACUCUUCAUGCCACCACCUAAAUGAGAUCAAAUGGGGCCCAACCCCGUUUAGGCUCAAGAAUAAGUGGCUUAAAUGCAGAAUUUUGGUAGAUGGUUAGUCAUUGGUGGGGGAGAAGAACUUAAAUGCUAUGCUAGGAUUUAGAGUUGGUAAUGCUAUCAUUUAGAGUGGCUAAUAAGCUGAAUUAUGUCAAUUUAAAAUUAAGGCUUGGAGCUCUAUCUAUCUUGACAAUGUGCAGAAGUGAGCAAGAGAAAAGAAAGAAACUGAAGUUUUUGACAAGAAAGUCGUUGAGAUGCGGCUUUGAUUAAUAGAAAUAGUUAUCCCGGAACCUCACCUAAUCACAAAUAAGGGAUUUGUUUGUUAACACUUUGAUUAGUACGUAGUAGUUCUCCCAGCACCUCAUCGAAUCGCAAGGAAAGGAAAUUGUCAAUUUCCCACAUCUAAGCUUGGUCUAGGGGCCAGAUAUGAUGAAAUCUUGGAGCCAGCUGGUUGCUUGCUUCCUUGCCUGUUGGACUUGACGUUCUAUAGUGAAGCCCGUCAAAGAGAAUAAUUAAGCUUUAUUGAUCAUAUUAAUUUUUAUAUAAUAAAGCUAUUUAGAAUAGACUCCUCGGAGGCCAGCUCCUAAUCCAAUUCCUAAUUUAGCAAAAAUUUAAAUACAUCUUACUUAACGUAGACUAGAAUCUUAAACCAGUUACUCCUAAAUUUUUGCCAACUCAGAAGAAGUCUAGAAUGUGACUGGGCUCCAUAAUUGUUAUGGGUCCUUUGAUGUCUUCAAACUCUCCGAAAUUAGUUCCUGUUAUCAGCAACAUUUUUCCUCUCCCUGACGAGGUGCUUGUUAGCAAACACCAAAGUGGGAUGUUGUGGUAAUAUGUUCUCUGCUACUUCCAAGGAUGCUCUGUUGGCGAGAGACCCUCAAGGGAUGAGCAGUUCGCGCCGCUGAGCAGCUAUCCUCUGCUACUGAAUGGCCUUUGGUUCACCUUUAGUGACUGAUGGUAGAGAAGGCUACACUUGUUCGUCACCACACCAUCUUUUGAGACAUAACACAUGGAAUACUGGGUGAGCACGUGCCCUAUCCAGUGACUCCAAAUGAUGGGCUACUUCUCCUAUUUGUUAUUGAUUUCAAAAGGACCAUAGAAUCUGGAGCCAUCUUCCUAGAAUGUCCACAACCUACUGACAACUAUCAAUAGCAGUAGAGUGAGAGUACCUGUCACCUGCUUCAAAGUGUACAUAAGCGGUGACGGGCAUCAUACGUGGUCUUUGUAGCCACUUGGUUUUGGACGGGUUGAUCACAAAGAUAUCAGAAAAUCUGGUCUUGGGGUUUCAGUCCCAUCUCUACUAUUUGUACUUAGCUACCCCUGGGUAGUUGGAUACAACUUGGGGGGAGGACUUCCAUACACUAACUCAGGUACGGUGCACGUCAAGGAGGAGCAGUAUUCAAUGUUAUAAUAGUAGUGUAAGACUUAAGAGAAUUUUAGGUAGAAAAGUAUGUUCUUUCAGCAGAGAAUUCUCAUUAUAUAUAUAGAUAUAUAUAUAUAUAUGUGUGUGAAAAAGACAAUCUAAUUGUCAGCCCUAAAAUCAGCCAAAAUAUAAUAUAUAUUUGAUUUACAACUAAUAUAUCAUAAUCAUGGAAAGAAUAAUACAAGAUAUGAGAUACUUGUCAAGGCUGUAAAAAGCAUAAAAUUUGGUGAUUUUAUUGAUAAAAUUUGCUAACUUUGAAAUAUAAAAUAUGCUGACUUUAAGAGUGAAUAUGAUUGACUAAUUGUGAAAUCUGCUGUGUUAAUUGUGAAAUCUGCUGAGUUUAAGUAUAAAUUUGCUAACUUUAAUUGUGGAAUCUACUGACUUUAAGUGGCCUACUAAUACCUUUGAUAUCUCCCCUCAAAUUGACGCCGGUAAAUUUGUAAGUAUCAAUUUACCGAGAAGAAAAUUAUGGCACUUUAUUUGCUUUAAGAUAUUCACAAUUUUUAGAGUGGUAGAAAUAUUGGGAAAGUGAUAAUUUAACGGUUAUAGGCCUUCCAGAUGGAGUGACAAGCUAUCUCUAUGUGCUUCGCGCAUUUCAUGGUAGAUAAGGUUGGCUACAAAUUGGAUGACAAUAAUGUUGUCAGUAUGUAAUGCAGUUGGUUUAACUUGGUAGAAACCAAGCUUUGUAAGAAGACUACGCCACCAAAUUAUCUCAGAACAUGCAAUAGACAUGGUGCAGUACUCUGUUUCAAUGGAUGAUUUGGAGACAAAAUCCUGCUUUUUGCAUUUCCAAGAGAUAAGAGUAUUACUAGGAAACACACACCAUCCAGUAAUAGAUCUCCUGGUAUCUAGGGAACCAGCCCAAUCAGCAUCACUGUAGGUUUGUAACUGGAGUGAAAAAUUAGUAGGAAAGAAUAAACCACGGUGCGGGUGCCAAACACAUAUUGAUUAAUGCAUCAAACUGCAAAUAGGUGGAGAUAUCAAGGGGAUUGCAUUAAUUUGCUGACAAUAUGAACAACAUAAAAAAUAUCUGGUCAAGUGAUGGUUAGAUAGAUAAGACUACCAACUAAUUUCUUAUAUGAAAUACUAUCAUCAACAAACGUUCCUUUGUCACAUCGAUAUUUCUUAUUAAUUUCCUUUUAGGGUAUCAACAGAAGUAAUAUAUGUAAGCUCAGUAACUGAAUUGGAUCUUGAAUAUACUUGUGUUGGUUCAAAAAGAUACCUUGAGGUCAAAGAUGUACCUCUAAUCCCAAGAACUAGGUAAGCUAACCAAGGUCUUUCAUGUAGAAAGUAGAAGGCAACAAUUUCCGAAUCUCGAAGAGGGCCUUCUUAUAAGAACCAAUGAAAACAAUGUUGUCCACAUAAACAAGGGGUACCAUCAUGCCCUUAUAUGUCCUCCGUAGAAAAAAGAAAGGAGUCAUACUGACUCUGAAUAAAUAAAAAACAGAGUAGGAUGGAUCGAAACUUUUCAAACCACACUUUUGGUGCCUGCUUCAAACCAUAAAAAAACAUUUUAGUUUACGAAUAUCAUUAGGUGAGAAAGUGGGCAUACUAGAGGGAAGUUUGAUAUAAACUUCUUCUUUCAGAUCACCAUGGAGAUUGCGUUCUUGACAUCCAUUUGAUAUAACGACUAUGACUGUGAUGCAAUAAGGGCUAGGAUGGUUCACACAGUGGUCAUCAUGGCUACUAGAGUGAAGGUCUUGUUAGUCUAGGAUAUACUCUUGCUUGUUGCCAAGAACAACCAAGCGAGCCUUGUAACAGUCUAUGAAUCCAUCAAAAUGAAGUUUGAUAGAAAACAAGAACUUACUGCCUAGAGGUUUCACAGAUGGGGUACAUGAAAUAAUCCCAAGUUUGGUUUUCUUCAAGUACAAAAAGUUUUGUUUCAAUAGGUUUUUGCCAACACUUUUGCAAAAUUGCUUGUUUAUAAUAAGAGAGAGUAGGAGUAAAAGAAAAAGUGGUUGUUAGAAAUAAAAGAGGCAUGAAACCAAAUGUAUAUGGAGGUUUAGAAAUUUGAGUAUUGCAUUGGAGAGUAGCAGAUUCAGUCACAAGAACAGGAUCAACAACCAGGGAAUGAUCUUGAAGGGGCUCGGGAGGUGCUAAAGUCUAAUUUGAUGUAAUGAAUGUGCGUCGCUGAUACACCAGAAAAGAUUUAGAUGAUGGACCAACAGAAAUGUUAGAUAAAUAAGGGAAAAACAAAAAAUGAAGAAGAAAGAGGGUCUUAGAGGUGAAUGACAGAAAAAUAUUGAUUUUCUAGGAAGAUCACAUUUUUAAAAACUCAGAUACGAUGUAGGUUUGAAUUAUAGCAAAAAAACCUUUUUAGUGUGCAGAAUAUUCAAAAAAGCACAUUUAACUUAUUGAGUUGUACUUUUUGCGUUCAUGUACGGGAAGAUGAACAUAACACACACAACUAGUGGCAUGAAGAUUAGAAUACAUUGGAGUAUGACCAAAUAACCGAGUGAAGGGUGAAACAUGAUUCAAUGAGGGAGAGGGCCAUCAAUUGAUGAGGUAGAGUGUAGUGGAGAGAGCUUCACACCAGAGCUAAGCGGGCACAAAUGAUUCUAAUAAAAGAGUGCGAACAACAUUGAGAAUGUGAUAGUUCUUUCUUUCAGCUACCCUAUUUUGUCGUGGCGUCGAAGGACAAGACCAUUGAGAGAUUAUGCCAUUAGUUUUGUAAUGAUUCUUGAAAUAAAAAAGACAUGCACUACCCUCAUUUUCAGAGUGAAGAAUUUUGGUUUUAAUAGAAUUUUGUGUAUGAAUAUAUGUAUGAAAAAGUAUGAAAAUAGAUAAUACAUCGUCUUUCAAAUGCGACAAAUAGAUCCAUGUGGAACAACUAUAGUCGCUGAUAAAAGUGACGAAAUACUCAUAAUCGAUAUGAGAAGUAACAGGUGUCAUGCCCCACAAAUCAUUAUGUCAAUAUCAAAAGGGUGGAUUACAUUUGGUGUAUAAGAGGGAAUGAUAAUGUUUUACUUCUUCCCAUUUUACAAGAAUUGCAAUCAAAUUGAAUAGAAUUAAAGGAUGGUGAUUUGUUUAUUCCUAAAGAAACCAGACUUUAGCAAAUCAUGAAAUACAUUAGAAUUGGGAUGUUCGAGACGUUUAUGCUAUCCUUGAUAAUCAACAAAAACAAAAUUGCAAAUGACAAAGAGCAUGGAGAAAUAUGAAGAAAAAAAGAGUUUGAGAAAGCAUAGACUUCUACUUUAGGCCCCUUUGCGAUCAUUUUCCCUGAUUGUUGAUCUUGCACAACACAAUGAGAUAUGAAAAAUUUUACUUUAUAAUUAUUUUUAACUAACUGAUCGAGAUAAACAAGAUUAGUGGUAAGGCUAGGAGAGACAAAUACAUUAUCUAGAUUGAAAGUAUCAACGGUAAUUUUGAUGAGUAAUUUGCUCCCAUCGGCAAUAUGUAUCUUGAGAUUUCCGAAUAUUUGUUUACAUUAGUAAGAUGUGAGCAUUGUUUGUCGUAUAAUUGGAAGCCACAUAAUCAAAGUAUCAAGGAGAUGAUGUAGAGAAGGGUUUACUUGAGAGUCUAUUUGUUGAAUUAUUACAGGGGUCACGAAUUGAACGGGAGCAGGAGCAUUUUGUGUUAGAUGUGCUGUAUCUAUAUAACCACCAGUACUAGAACCAACUGAUGCAAUAUAUGCAGCUGUAGAUAUCUUGGACGGUCUGGUAGGACAUUCCUUGAUAAUAUGACCAUCCUUGUUGUAGUAAUUAUAAAAUUAUCUAAGAUAGUUUGAAGCAUAAUGACCAAAUUCUUUAUAAUAAAAACACUGGUUAGUGCUCAUGACUCUUUCUCUUGUCUUACUUUUUGCUGCAUAUGUUAUAGAGCCAUAAGUGGAUCUUUGUUAUUCCAUGGUAGUUUGAGUCAGAUGGCAUUGCUCCUCAUAAAACAAAUCAUUGAGAUAUGUUUCCAAGGAGGGGACAAGAUCUCGGUUUAUAAGAUUGGACCUAGUGCUUUCGAACUCAGAUAUUAGUUUUAUAAGAAAUUGGUCCCUUUUAGUAAUUUUGUGAAUACAUUGAAUAGAACUAAGACUUUCAUUAGGUAAGGUAGCAUAAAUUAUAUCAGUAUAUUCAGUCCAAAGAUUUCAUAAAACUAGAGUAAAAUUCAGUUAUAGAGAGAUUAUUUUUGCUGAAAAAUAGCUAAUUCAUGUUCAAACUGGAACAUGAGCAGUAUUAUGCUGACUGCAGAGUUUCUUUUGGUAAGUCCAAAACUCAUUUGCAAUCUUGAGAGAUCGAAGUUCAAAAUGAUGUUGGAUUCGGCAUAUCCUAGGAUCCAUGCCAUGAUUUGGGCAUCCUUGGCCUCUAAAUUUGUGUGACCAUCCUUAUCCUUGUUUUUGUCAGGAAAAGGAUUUUUGCCAUUUAUAUGACCCUGUAGGUCCUUACCUUUGACAAGGAUCUUGAAAUGGAAUCCUUAGGUUGAGUAGUUUUUGCCAUUAAGACAAGUCAGGAAGGCAUUAUACUUGUCUGAAGACAUGAGGUAAGAUAACUUGAUCAAGGAUAACUAAGAACAAAGGGCUGAACUAGGAUUGAGCUGAAACUAGCUCUAAUACCAUGUAAGACUUAGAGAAUUUUAGGUAGAAAAGUAUGUUCUCUCAGUGGAGAAUUCCCGUGAUAUAUAUUUAUAUAUGAAAAAUACAAUCUGAUUUUCAGCCCUAAAAUUAGCCAAAAUAUAUUAAAUAGAUUUGUUCUAUAGCUAGUAUAUCCUAAUUAAGAAGUGAAAAAAAGAUUUACAAAGAUAUGAGAUACUUGUCAAGGCUGUACAAAGUAUAAAAUCUGUUAAUUUAAGUAUAAAACCUGCUGAUUUUAAGUGUGGAAUCUGCUGACUUUAAGUGUGAAAUCUGUUGCUUUAAUUGUGAAAUCUGCUGACUUAGUGUAAAAUCUUUUAAAUUUAAUUGUGAAAUCUUCUGACUUUAAGUGGCCAGCUAAUACCUUUGACAAGUAGUCAGCCCAAGAUAGUCAAUCCAUCCAACAUUUUGGCUUAUCACUUGUAAAACACCUUUGAUAUAUCUAGAUUGUGCGAUUAACAAGCUCAAAUAUGGCCCUGAUUGGGGAUGGUAGGCUGAACUAAACCAACUUGAUGCUCGAUAAAUAAAAAAGUUUUUCCAGAAAUCACUUGUGAAGGUGACAUGGCCUUCACUACCUAUUGGUUGGGUAAACUUAUGUAGCUUAAAGAUGGUAUGAAAGAACGACCAUGUCGCAUUUACAACGUAAGGGUGAGACAAUGGUAAAAAAGAGGGCAUAUUCUGAGAAGAGAUUGACCAAUGGAAGGAAAACUUUUUUGCCAUUUGAGUUCAGGAGACCUUGCACAAUGUCCAAGGAGAUGUGGGCUAUAUUUUUUCACUGAUGGCUAGUGAUAGUAGGAGGCCUGCAGGUUCCAAUUGUUACACUUUUUCGCAUUAGCAAGUUGGGCAACACUUGACAAAAUCCUGGACUUGUUGCUAAUGGUUCUCCCAAUAAAUCACCAGCAAUUUUUGGAAAUAUCUUUUAGUACCUUUUUGUCCUUGAUUAUGGAAGGCAGAUAAGAUAACAGGCACCUGAGAUGACAUUUGUAGGAGAAGCACUCUUUCCUCCUAUAAUAAGAGACCAUAUUGGAAGGUCUUGGGAUCACCAACUUUAUCCUCUUGAACAUGUUUAACUAACUUUUGUAAAGUGGGAGAGCUAGUGAUUUCUUCCCGACUGGCAUUGAAUAUCUCCAAACGAGGCAUGAAAAUUGCCUCCGAGGUGCCAAUGUCUUCAAAUUGUCUGGAGGGGACAUCUGCCACCACAUUCUGUCUUCAUGCUUGAUUUUCAACUUCAAAAUCAAAUUCCAUCAGCUUGACUCCAGUAGAAUUGAAGGUUGUAAUGGUCAGUAUUUACCAGAAAAGACCUUCCUUGUAGGCAAGGCCUCCAAUGCCGCACAGCUUGGACAAACCAACUUGUUCUUUGUCAUAUGCUGAUAGCUUGUGGUGGUAGGUGUCCAAGAACCUACUAAAGAAGGCUAUGAGCUUCCCAGCUUGUUGAAGGAUUGCUCCAAUCCCUUAGUCUGAUGCAUCACAUUCUAUGACCAAUUUUUGAGAAAAAUCAGGGAGUGCUACCACUGGUGUUGUAGUCCAGGCCUUUUUGAGGUGUUCGAAGGCCUCAAAAGCUUUGGGAGUCUAAAUGAAGGAAUUCUUACAUAUCAUGGAAGUUAAGGGGGCAGUGAUGAUUCUAUAGUAGCCUAUUAACACCAAAUGUUUGCAUAGUCCCUUAAUAAUAAUUGGUUUUGACCAUUGUAGCAUAACCAAAAUUUUUGAAGUAAUCUACUACCCCUUUUGACAUGAAAUUUUGUUGCCCGAGCAGUAAACUUGAGUCUGGCCAAAAAGGUGCUUUGAUUUCCUUGGGAACAAACAGUGACUGCUUAGUAAGGAAAGAAACUGACCUUAGGCGGCCUGAGUUCUAACACUUGCAUUUUACUUUUAGUGAGGAUGUAAUAAAAAAACACCGAAACAAACUGAGUUUAGGUGCCCCAAGUACUCCCACUACGUCAUGCCCCCCUAGCUUCUCUAUGGAAUUUCUAUAUUGAGGUCACCUCAAGACAUCAUAAAGGAAAACAAAUGCCACAGAUGUAAGUGAUCUCCUUCCAAAUAGGAAAUCUUAGGCCCAAGCUAGUAGAUCCAUAAAAAAUGAACCACCAGUUACCUUAUCCUAGGAAUGUAAUCCCCAUUGUGUCCUAAAGAUGUAGCCUUCAUGUGCUGUACGUGCAUCAACCUUUAAUUUGUCAAUAAGCAUGUCAUUUUCAUUGGUAACACUUGGUAUCCUUUUAUAUGUGAUCAGAAACCCCAACAUAUAAUUUAGUACAAAAAGUUAAAUCCCUAAAUGAAUCAUCUACACUUAACUCAUAAUCAACAUAUGAUUGCAAACUAAGAUAAUUAGGAAACAAGAAAUAGAAUUGAUUAGACGUCAUGAGAUUAUCUCUAUAAAUAAAAUCAAUUCCUAGCUAAAUAGAACGGUAUGAGAAAUCUCCCAAAGAGCCUCACAAAAGCCGAAAGCAAUUGUUUAUAAAAAGAACUUGAAACUUUAUUGAUAUGAAUGAUGUUUUUACAACCAAAGGAAUAAAACUUUUUAUAGGUGUAGUAGUCAUCCACGAACAUGGAUCCCUAAGUUUCUGGUACAUCUCUAUGCGAUAGUAAGAAGGUACAAAUAUCUUUCUUAUAAUGGAUUUGAUAUCCCUCCAUGUUGAGACAGAUCGGUUUUUGGUAUACCUUCUGUUAGUUAGCACUUGAACACACCACACUAGAGCAUAGGCGGUAAAAACUACGACGGCUAGCUUUACCUUCUUUUCUUCACUAUAGUUAUGACAGUCGAAGAUGAGUUCUACUUUCCAUUCCCACUCUAGGUAGGUUUUAGUAUCAUUCUGUCAAUUGAAAGAGAGAAUCUCUAUUUUGAUAGAGUUGCUAUCUGUCAAGUCCUCCCUCCAGUAAUCUCGAUCAACAUCUCUUUCAUUCUCAUCACAAGAUUCGGCAUCAUCUUGUGGAAGUAGGCGCCUUAUCUGGAGUGGGCUAUUGUUUCUUUGCCUCAUUCCAUCAAUCUUUGCUUCUAGACUUUUAAUCACCAGACUGAGUCAUGUAAACAUGGUGCCUAAAUACUCCCUUAGGUCUGUUGGACUCUUAUUUUCACUUGGUUGAGACAUUAAAAAAUCCUUGUAAGAAAAGGUUAGUAGAAAAUAACACUCUCGUAGAUCUCUCAUAUUUCUCUCACCUCGUAAUCUUCUUUAUUCGAGUUGAAUGUUAGAAUCGACUCCUCUUUAAUUAAGAUAUUCAAGUUUUGUCUUAAAACAUUGCAAGGAACCUUAGGGAAAAAAAUUUGCAACACAAUUCUAGAAGCCGAGCUUAAAUACACAGAUGAAAAUAAUGUGUUUAUAUAUGAGGAUAAGUAACUAGGAUGUCAUGGAGCACAAGUGCAAUGAAAAAAGGAAACUUACAGUGCAAGAAAAGACACUAUGAAUGUGAUAUAUAUCUUUUUUAUUUUUGUUUUUGAUUGUCUGAUGAGUACAAACAGAUACAAGGUAUGCCUUUUUUUUUCUACCAUGAAAAAUAAUAAAUAUGCAAUGAUAGAUUAUGCAAGAUAGUAAGAUCUAUUUAGUGCAUAAACUCUGAUAUCAAAUUAUGCGAAACCCAUGAUCAACCAAUGUAAUUAAAAACCUCAACAUAUAAUUUAGCACAAAAAUUUAAAUAUCUAAAUAAAUCAUCUUUACUUAAUUUACAAUUAAUUUAUGAUUGCAAAUUAAGAUAAUUGAGAAUUGAUAAGAUGUCACGAGAUUAUCUCGAUAAGUAGAAUCAGUUCUUGACUCAACAAGACGGUUGAAGAAAUAUCCCAAAGAGCCUCACAAAAGCCGAAAGCAAUUGCUUGUAAAAAAAACUUGAAACUUUAUUAAUUUGAAUGAUGUUUUUACAAUCAAAGGAAUAAAAUCUUUAUAUAGCUAUAAACUUAACUAAUUCGAGUACAAAUCAAAAACUAAAUUAUAGGAGAAUUCUGAAUACAUUUUUAUUUACGAUUCUAAUUAAAAAAACAAAUUAAAAACGCGUAAAUAUAAAAGAAAUAAAAUUCUUCUCUCUUGAAUAAGAUUCCUUGUUGUCCCCGAAUUCUUCCUCUUUAUUUUAAUUGAAUUUGGAUUUCAAUAAUUAAUUAAUUUUUUAUGAAGAAGUUGUGUUGAAGAUGUUUUAAAAAGUUUCUAACUUGAAGUAAAAAACAAACUUUCUUCCGUGAGAAAAUCAAGGAAGAUUUUGGGUUAGGAUAAGGACUCCUUUCGUUUGAUCUUUUCUUUGGUUCCAACUCUUUAAAAUAUUGAUUUAUGAAUAAGAAAUUCAAUUAGGACUCUAGAAUAAAGAGUUCCAGUCUUCUUAAAGCUCCCUUGCAGCAAAUCCUAAUUUAAUUUAGGAUUCAUAUUGCCGCACUGCACCAAGAGGGGAUGGCUUGAGAGAAACUCUCAUUAGAGAGAAUUUCUUCUAGGAUGGGACUCUUCUCCAUGCGUGUCUAGGAUUACAUUAUCCUAUAUCUCUUUAUUAGUGCAGUUUGUGUUCAACAGUCUUUGAUUCUCUCACUUCGCAGCAAUUACUUCAGUUUAUUGUUUUCUGGUCUGUGAAUAUUGAACAAGCCUUCAUUAGAUAACUCAAAAUUUGAGAUGAGGCAGAUGUCAAGUUGCUGAUUUUUUGUUUGAGUUACGUGGAAUCUUGGAGUGUUGUAACUUACAGCUACUAUAUUUAUAAACUGAUGUGACCAGAUCAUACGUUUUAAUUGAUAUGCGGAAUGGUGCUUUCUGGGCAGGUUUUGGACUUACUUGAAGAUGCUUGCCAAUCAUUGUUGGAAACCAUCUUGGCAGAUCAUGGCGAUGUUUAAAUACUUAAUUUGUGCAUGAGGUCAUGGUGGUCGAAUUAUAGACUCAAGCUGUUGGGGUAAAAUACCAAUUUUUCUGCUGGCCAGGGUCUUAUAUAUGAGAUGCCCAGUCAUCCGUCAGCCGUAAGCAAUCGGCUUUAAAUGUAUACAGGUGUCAUAUAUGAUUCCUCUGUUGGCAUUUUGGUGCCAUGAAAUUCUGAAUUUAAAUGUCAUUAUGCAUAUUUAUACAACCCAUAAUGAAAAUAUUUUUAUUCUUCCAGUAUUUGGAGGUGUCGGCAAGUCUUGCUCUGUCCGAAUGUUGGAUCCUUCCGACCUUCCAGAUGACAAACCGAAAAAUUCGUAUAUAUGUAUAUAUGUAUAUGUACUUGAUGUAUAAUGGGUGGGACUUAGAUUACAUGGAAUGGACUUACUUGAAUGAUCUCACAACGGCGAGGAUGAUUAGGUUAUCACGUAUGGGUCUCAAGGGAGUGACAAUUCUUUUAUGACUCAUUUUUGCCUAGAUGUACAGUACGGCGAGAUGGACAGCCUUCAUAUCCAGAAUCUAAGGCUACGAUUGGAAUCAUAAAACUUUGUAUAAUUUUUUUGGCAAUACAUUUCUAAUUUAAUUAGGAAAAAGGAUGCAAAAACCAUUAAAUAUUAUUGACUUCUUAUAGAUUUUAAAAUGAAAUUAAAUAAUUAUCUGAUGUCAAAACUAAUGGAAUUUGGAAUAUAUUAUUCUACUCUCACAUAUAAUUUUACAAGAGAUAAAUUUUAAUCUUUUUAUAGAGGAUUUUGGCUAUUUUUAACAUUUAAAAAAACGUAGAAUGAAAAAUAAAUUUCACAAAAAAAAUAUAGAAUGACAAAAGAAUGUUUAAAUCAUAGAAAAUAAUUUUGGCGAGUGGUAGAGAAUAUUUAACUUUACAAAAAGGGUUGGGCCUAGUGUCUCAAAAUGGGCCUGCAGAAAACCAAUUCUCAUUUUUCUCUCUGUUUCAAGCCCAAAUUGGGGGAUCCAAUGUGAUCUAUCUUGAUAUCAGCGCAUGAAGGCUGGUGAUAGGUCCCGAUGAGAAGCAACUUAAUCGAGACAUGUGUUCUAUUUUGAGCAAGAAAAACCACAAAUUUUAAAUGCAAAUUGAACUCCUUCAUUGCUGAUACUUGCAGUGUUUAAAUACAAAAAUUCUAUCAACUAUUUCUUACACCUAGGGGAUCACUUUAAUGGUGUUUUCUCUGGUGGAUUCCAAACAGAAGUUUCAACAAGCGAUGAAGGAGAUGGUAGGCCGAUCUGAUUGAAAUUGUUCCAAUGGCGAAGGUUGUGCGCAACACCAAUAAGUGCUUUGAGUUAUAACUAUCAGAGAUUCUAAUGAUAAUUAUUAUCACCACAUUCGAUUUAUUGUUUCAUUAUUGACGUGUACUAAAAUAAAAAUUAAGACCAAGAUAUUUAUUAAAUGUAUCUAAAUUAUUGUUAUAAUUUACUUAAAUUAGUAAAUAAUUAUUUUAUUAUGAAUAUUAUUUUUAACUAAUUUAAUAAAAAAAAAGUGUUAAUUCAUGAAAAUUUUCUUAAAAAGUCAUAGCUCCAUGAAGUACAUAAAAAAUAAAUUGCAGGUAAAUAAUAUUGAUUUACUCAAACUACAUUAUAAUUUUUAGUAAAUAUAUUUAAUAUAAUUACAUCAAUUGAUAUAUGUCCAAAAAGUAGAAAAUUAAUUAAAAUAUAAUCUUAUAAACUUAAUUAUAACUUGAUUAUUUAUUUAUCAGUUUUUUAAUACAAAAUUAAAAAUAUCUUUUAGAAUCAAUAAUUCUAUGAUUUAAUGAUUUUAACAUAAUAUUAAUUAAAAAAAUUAUUAAUUAUUUAAUAAUUAAUAUUUUUUUUAAAUAGUUUUAUAUUACGGGUCAAAUUAAAAGUCACAUGUAAAACAUAAAUACUGAGCACAAUGGCCAUGCUGUUAGUCGGCGGAACUUACGGUGCUACAGUAAAUACAAUUCACAAUUCCAUUAUUUAAUAAGUUGACUAUUAGUCUAUUGGAAGAUGUCGUGUUCACAUCUUAUUGGCAAAAAUAUGCAGUCUUUUCCUACUAUUCUCUGGUCUGCUCCGCACAUGAUUGCUAACUCCUUUACCAUAGAAGCGUGCGGAAGAGGACAUCCUCCAGAGUUAAAUAAGAAAUCACCUUUCAAAUUUCGUCUUUAAGCUGUAUNNNNNNNNNNNNNNNNNNNNNNNNNNNNNNNNNNNNNNNNNNNNNNNNNNNNNNNNNNNNNNNNNNNNNNNNNNNNNNNNNNNNNNNNNNNNNNNNNNNNNNNNNNNNNNNNNNNNNNNNNNNNNNNNNNNNNNNNNNNNNNNNNNNNNNNNNNNNNNNNNNNNNNNNNNNNNNNNNNNNNNNNNNNNNNNNNNNNNNNNNNNNNNNNNNNNNNNNNNNNNNNNNNNNNNNNNNNNNNNNNNNNNNNNNNNNNNNNNNNNNNNNNNNNNNNNNNNNNNNNNNNNNNNNNNNNNNNNNNNNNNAUGUUUCACCCGGGAAGAAGACCGGGUUGCUUGCUGUAGACCGAGACUCACAAAAGCUAAAACUGUUGCGGUCUGAGCCGAAACUGACUAGACCGGUUUGUUUUCCGGGGCAUGAAGCAUACGCAUGCGACAGAGACGCUUGUCUACAUAAGCCAUCAUCGUCGAGGGCCGAGAAAAAUUCAGCAUGCCGUUUCCCCAACUUGGUCAUACCCGGAGCUGAUGAACAAGGUAUGGUAGAUGGCUACAAAGAAGAUGAGUAUAGAGACUUAUACAUGCGUAACCUAUCGCAGUUCAACGAGACGCUGUCGCGUGGAGAAUCAAUGUGCAUGAAGUUCCAAUGGGACAUUUUGCUGGCUGGUAAAGCGGUUAACGCUAACGCCAAUUUGGAUUUGCGUCAUGGCUUUAGUGACGCUAUGAGAAUCAGCACUAGAAGCGAGAGAGGACCCACCAUUGCUUACCCUACAUCCACCGAAGAACAUAAUUAUUCAAAAUCGAAGGAGAAACUGGAAAGUGGAUUAUGUGAAGAGAGAGAUAAGCCUUUCUCGAACAACUUACAGAGUAAUCUUGGUUUGAAUGGAUAUUUUGGUGGGAUGUGUAAGGAAGGUACCUUUGAUCCAUCUAAUAGACACGAACAGAAUAGAAGAGAAAUACCAAGUGGAACUGUAGGUUACUUUGAUGGGUAUGGCCAAAAAAUGAGUUUCGACUCUUCUUCCAUCCGUGACCCCAAAUCGCCCUUGAAAGAACCGGUUAUGCACCGGAAUCUUAUCACUGGGGUUUUGACUGGAAACUGUAAGUGCAAUAAAGCGUUAAGGAGUGAGGUGGAUGCAUUGUCUAGUGAAUUUCCUCAUAGCAACAUGGUAGUUGCUCGACCGAGGCCCAGCACUGUAGACUCAGUUGUGGAUAGAAUCGAGGGAGCUGAUUCUUCUCUUCAUCAUGGUGUAAGAGAUAGCAGGAUGGCGUGGGACCAGUACAGUUAUUGCCGUGGACAAUCCCUUGAUCUCACUGGAGCAUCACGCAUGUUACGGCAAGAUGAGUUUAGACUCGCUCAUCUAUGCAACAGAAGCAAAUCCUAUCUGAAUGAAACCCUGCAGUUGGGAGAAGAUUAUGGUGUCGAACUUCCUUUUGAAACGACUAGCAUUCUUGCAACGAAAGAACUUUACCUGGGAAAUGAGAACAUGAGACGGCAAGCUGAUUACGGUUUCAAAGGGGAUGGCCAUCCUGUUAUAUCUCAAGAUGGUUUGACAAGUCGCUCACCGUCGGAGAACGAAGAAGGUACCUAUGAUAUUAAAUUUUGGUCCCAGCAAAUGUUGACUGAUGAAGAAUUAACCAUUGACGAUCAAUCUGAGACAAAGAUGCAUGAAGAUCGCAUCAUUGGUUAUACCCAGAUUGGACACCUAGGGUCUCCCAAGAUCGGGAUGGUUCCAAUGAGGUCCUUGGUCUGAAUUGCGUAGACCAGCAGUGGAUUAAUCAUGAUAUCAGACAAUUAUCAACACCAAAGUCUUCAGAACUUGAAUAUUCACCAAGUGGUGGAGUUGACUUUAACCUCAAUUUUCC